AUACCUAUCAAUAUGUACUAGAAGAGGAGAAAAAAAGUCACUACGCUAGUACCAAGACAGCACGCUUACAAGAUAGCCAUUUUAUACAUUAUUAACAAACGAUGAUCAACAAAGAGUCUUCUAUGAGGUGAUGGGGAUGCGGAGAAAUGGGCGGGGGCUGGGGACAGGACAUCACCAACAUGGACUAAAGAGUAAUUCAUUCCCUAACUAGACACUGAAUUGCUGGGAAUUUAGUGUCUCUCACUUUCUCUUUGUUGCUGUUUUUCAAAAUAAAACUUCAAUUUUGUUUUUUUUUUUUUUUUACUUAAAUAAGCUUUGUAUUUUAAAAGCAUCCAGCAUUUUACUCAGUUUAGUUGUUUGGAAACUUGAAAACAAACAAACAAACAAACAAAAAAACACCCCAAAACCCAAAACCUUCCCAAACAACCCAGCAUUUUAUUUUAAAAACAAAGAACAUGAUUUUCUUUCUUUUUUUUUAAAGUUGCAUUUAAUUAGAAUUUAAUUAUGAUGGAAGCAGGCUUCUUUACUUUCUUUCUGAAUUAGCUUUUUGGAGACUUUUAGGUUGAAGAUGCUUUUGCGCUACCAUGUCCAUGAAUGUCUAUGUUAGUCUAUUGUUAGUAAAAUUUAUAAAAAUAGGAGUGCAGCAGUUCUUUAUAAUAAAUGUCGCAUUCAGUGUCUCAUACUGGCUGUGCCUUAAGUACCAAAUUUAUAAACGUAACAAUUUAAAAAAUAUUAAUAAAAUGUCAAUAUCACAUUUUAAAAAAGAAAAAAUAUAUAUCCACACUACAAUACGCUUUAAUGCCACCUAUUGAGUUGUACUUCUACAGUUUCUGUUGCCGACCUAUUACCAAUAUUUUAAAAAAAAAAGUUAAAUUAAAAAAUAUCCUUCAUCCUAAGUGUCUUCCCCCAACUGAGGACCAUAUAUUAUAACAGCCAAAUGUCAAACAUGUGCAAACAGGAAACUGUCAGUUUUUCCCACCAGUCACAGUGCAGUGAUGUUUAUACUUUUUAUUUUUAAAAUUCUGUUUACAUCUACAAUAAAUUAAAAAAAAAACUCUUCCAUAGCCUCUCUGAUGAUACUUGCAGCACUGAGGUAUCAAAAAAAAUAUAUAUAUAUAAACCGAAAGGUUGCUUUCCUAAUUUGUAAAUAGAAAGUGAGUGGAGAAAGGGUGUGUCAUGCAGGCUUAUCCACUCCUGGCCCAUGGGCCCCCUCUCUGGGGGCAGAAUGGGGGACAGGGUGAGGAGAGAGACAGAGUACCCUAGGGACCUUUGGAGGUGCUGAAAUGAUUGGACAAUAUAAAAUGAUCAGAUAUUUAAAAAUUAAGACUGAAAAAGAAUGUCCCUACCCUGCCCCUCCCCUAAGCCAAAACAGGUGUGCUUUGAAACUUUAAAUAUGUUAAAUAUUAAAAUUGUAGCUUUGUUUUUUUUCUUUAAAAAAUGUCUUGGGAAAAGCAGUUUUUCAUAUUUUAAAUAAAAAUCUAGCUAGACCAUAACAUUUGAAGCUGUGCACAGAGAGAUUGCUGGGCUGGCAGGGUGCUAAUGCGGUUCUUAGGUCUACCACACCAACAGAGGCGCUAAGAGUGGAGUUCCAGGUGGCCCUGGCAGCUGGGUGCUCUUGUGUUGUGUAGUUCCGGCUUCAUCAAGGUUCCCUCCCCUCCCUCCUUCCAGGGUACCUAACUGCCUGGGAGCAACUCCCCCACAAAAAUAUUUUUGAUUCUCUUUUUUAAUAGUUUCUAUGUAGUUAAUGGAAUUCUAUUUACAACUUUUUUUGUUUGUUUUUUGUUUUUUAGAAUUCACAAUUUCAAAAAACCUUAUAAUACGACCUCUUUGAACAGAAAAAAAAGAAGUACUCAUAGAAAAGGAGGACCCUCAAAACACGGCCGUCCUUACCUUAUUGCCGAAAAUAGACUUAGGUUAACAAAGAGACGUCACAAAAAUGAACUGCCAGAGAGUCUGUUAAGCAGCCAACUGCAUGUCACUUCUAUAAUGUAACAUAGAGAGUCUAUGCCCACCUCCCGCCCCGCACAUCACAACUCUGCUUAAGUGUGUGCUAAAGUCCCAGAUGAAAAUUCUUACAGUCUCAGCAUUGGUACCAAAAAUGGAGAGUAACAUCACCAUCUCAGCAUCCGUUAAAAGUGAGAACAGAAUCAAAACAACAAAACAAAACAAAAUUCCUUUUAAAGAAAAAAAAAGAAAAGAAAACUCCUUAAUAUAUAACAAGUAUACUAUGGUUAGCUUUUCACUAGGUAUUAAGCUAAGGUGACACUAGACUAAGUCAAAAAUCACUACCAAAUGUGAUUCAGGGAGAUUUCAAAGGGGAAGGGAGAAGGGGGGGGAGGGAGAGGGAGACCACCAAGAAAAACAAACAGAACCAAACCAAAAUCAUGGAUUAUAUACACGUUUAAAAGCUGUUGUCUUAUAUUACAGCAGGUUGGUGAGAUGAGAUGUAGUCAACCCUCAAUCCAAAGUGUGCCACCUCUGCUUGGGAUGAGGAGUGAGGCUGGUGGGGAUCCAGGUCUGAGGACAUCACCUAAACAAAGGACCACUCAGAAACUUCGCCCAGUCUUGCCUGGACAUCCAGGUAUGCUCUGUAGGGCAGGGAGGUCAGACGUGUCCCGAAGAGAACAUAAGUGGGGGAGGGAGAGAAAGAGAAACGUCAGGCACACAUAUGGUUCAUUCCAAGGUCUCGACUACAGUUGUCAAGGGACUAGGUUGUGUGACUGUGUGUGUGUGUGUGAAAACGGCUGGGCUGAUGGCUGACUUCCCAGCCUGAUGCUGGGAAGAGGACAGACAGAUCUGACACAGGGCUGGAAAGUUCUGGAGGUCAUGGUGGGAAGUAGAGUCAGCAUGGGUCUCAGCUACUUGGUCAGAUCACACAUGGAUAGAUAACCCCUUUCUGUUUAACUUUUGUUUUUGAAGCUAUGUUUAAGAAAAAACUAUGGUGGCACACGCCUUUAAUCCCAGCACUCAGCAGGCAGAGGCAGGUGGAUCUCUGUGAGUUUGAAGCCAGCCUGAACUACAGAACAAGUUUCAGAACAGCCAGAGUUACACAAAGAAACCCAGCCUCAAAAAGCCAAAAAACAUCAAAACAAAAGUAAAAAUAAUCAAUCAAAUAAAAAGUGUGACCGACUGAAAAAAUGUGAAUUUGUACUAGGAGAUUAUAUACCAAGGGACUGAUGUUAACUAUUUAACAAACAAAAACUUAAAAAACAACAACAACAACAACAACAACAAAACCCCAAACCAAAUAACUAGUCCCGGUUCAAGAAAAUCCACACAGGUCCAGGAUUCAGGUUUGCUAACUGGGUUAUCCUGGAUUGCCUGUGGGCCUAGGCUCUUCUGUGGAUGGUACUAAAUGUCAGAGGGUCACUUCUGCUGGAGACAAAUGAUGGGCCUGCCUGGUCUUUCACAGCUGCUUUGCAGUCAUGUGACUUGACUAGGGGGUGGGUUUCAGACUGCUGCUUUCCUGGUUACUACUUUAUCAUUGUGUAGAAACUGAGUCUUAGGGUUGGAGGAUGGACAUAGACUGGGGCCAGCCUCUACCUUCCCUAGGGCAUGUCAUAGCAGCCUUACGAGGAGGAGCGGGGAGAACUGGACACUGGAAGCCCCAGUAGCUGGCAUCCCUAGGCAGUCUUUGAGUCCCUCUUUAUUUGCUAGCUGAAGCCAUCUUCAGCACUCAGAGUUCCUGGCCCUAUCAGCCCUCCUCAUUUCAGAGGCACCUUACUGUCCCCAAGCCCCCAGACCCGGCUUCAUUAGUAGCGAGUAGCUCUCUUGAGAC
ensembl:lncRNA